UAAUAAUUGGAAAAGACGACCAUCCGCCAUGCGCGCAUUUCGAGAAUGGGAGUGCAUCUCUUGAGGCCGUGUCGGAAAAGCUUUCUGAGGCCACUGAUGGCACCAGUCUAGGCUGGAUGUCCCUGUAGGAUUUCCAGUGUAAUGUGGUGAGAAAGAGAGCUCCGUUGAGUCCUUCUAGCUCAAAUAAAUCGUCCCCGGAUGAAGAAAUCAAAUUUACCAAACAGCGAGGAAGCACGGCAACAGCAACUCUUACAAGGACUUGUCAGGUGUGAUCAGCUGAUUCGCCUGGCCGUGAGAAUCACGGCAUGCGUGACAUCGCGCCUGAGUACUCAUCUGAGCGAGAGUGAAUCUGACGCCAGCGGCGCUGAGGUGAACGAACCAAAAUUGUGAUAUUGUGGAACUGUUGCUGCUGGUGCAUCGCCGAUGGCGAGGUAUUGGAGUUCAAGGACGGAAUUAGAAGAAUAUAUUCUUCACCAAGACGUAGUGCUUACCUGAUUGUUUAUCAUAGGACUUCAGCUCCAUCACGAACUUGGUAUUCACUUCGUGCUGUGAUUUUUGUGUUUCUUGUUCGCAAUUGUAUUUUCUCUCAACUUGAAGGGCUACCACGUGCCAUACCCUUGCCUGGACAUAGUCAUAUUUGUGUUUUCUGGAAUCGUUCAGGCAUACAGAUUUUGAAAAUAUAUAUGUAGGACUCAGUAUAGAGUCCAUGCACUAUAUGAUGUCCAGCACCCUAUAUAGAGUCCAUUGGUCCAAAAUCCACUAUACAGAGUCCAGGAGUCCACUCAGUUUUGAUCAGCUUCAUCCUGCCGCGCAAUCCCCUAUAAGGAGUACACUUUUUCUACAAGUCCCCUAUUCACGGUCCAGGAGUCCAGUUUAUCCUGUCACGCCGUCCUGUGUGAUGUGCCCGAAAGGGAACACAUUUUUCAGUUUUGCUUGCCUCGUGGCAGCGCAUUCCUUUCUUCACUUCAGCCAUGGCUGCCAAUUCUGCUGUGCAGUUGCUGACAGUAAUCUGUCUCGAGCUAACCAAGGAGGAUAAGGAGACGUUCAAAAUCAAAUCUGGAAAGCGUCUUGUGGUUCUCUGAAGACGUUUCAUCAGUGCGCGGGAUGAAAGCAGAAAUUGCAGAACGAGAAAAGUUCAGCACAGUUCAAAUCUGACGAGUCAGGUACACUGACGCUCUCUUUCGUUCGACGCCACAAGGAUCCCCUGUUUGGCUGGCCAUUGCUGCCAGUAAGACGUUUGAACGGUUUCAUCAGAGCGAGGGAUGAAAGCAGAAAGCGGAGAAAGAGAAAAGUUCAGCACAGUUGCAAUCUGACGAGUCAGAUACACUGACACUCUCUUUCGUUCGACGCCACAAGGAUACCCCUGUUUGACUGGACAAGAGCUGCAUGUACCACCGUGUCAAAAGGCUGUCCAACUACAUGGCAGGACGAUGACUGAGGUGUGCUGAUCUUCAGAAGCUUGCGGAACUGAGUGCUGCUGAACAUUUGCAUGGCCAUGAGCAAUGGUGAAGCUUGCUAUUGCACUCUCAGCAUGUGCUAGUAUUAUGCUGACCACUGCACUAUGUUACUCUCUUACACUACUACGUGUAUGUAAACGUGCGUGUACCCGUCCCCGUACGCAUUCGUUUCGUAUAAUAAUUUGUUAUCCCUCUUGACUUUACAUGUAAAUGGGUGGACGUUUGCAUGGCUGUUGGAGUUGCGUGUGUAUUGUGUCUCUAUUCUUUUCUUGGUGUUUUCUUGGCGUUGUAUAAGUUUGUGUGUGUGUGUGUGUGUGCGUGCGCGCGCGCACAAUAAUUUGAAAACAAAUAAUUAAUCCUGGGCUCUCCAUUAUUCUCUUUUGAUUCUUGGUUUUUUCCUAGGUAUUUUCUUGGCGGUGUGUGGGUGUGUGCAUGUGUGUGUGCGUGCACAAUAAUUUGGCAACACUACAUGAUUGAGAUAUUGUAA